rnacentral:lncRNA from 1 species
GGACCGUGGCUAUGGAGUCCGGCGUGGCAGCGGCAAUCCCUGGCCAAAGCGCUUGGAUGUCCCCCUUUCUCUGUUUAUGGAGUUCCUUACUAUAUAAUCUUGGAAGAGCCUGCUUCCCACUCCAGAAGCCAAAAACUCCAGAUACCAGCUUGCCCCUGCCCCCAGGCAGCUAGGCUCAGCCACCCACCACAUCACUAUGAAGUAAGUCAGACAAUACCUACUU